UAGGGAAUCUUCCACAAUGGACGCAAGUCUGAUGGAGCAACGCCGCGUGAGUGAAGAAGGUCUUCGGAUCGUAAAGCUCUGUUGUUGGUGAAGAAGGAUAGAGGCAGUAACUGGUCUUUAUUUGACGGUAAUCAACCAGAAAGUCACGGCUAACUACGUGCCAGCAGCCGCGGUAAUACGUAGUGGCAAGCGUUGUCCGGAUU
rnacentral:rRNA from 1 species